GACGAACGCUGGCGGUGUGCUUAACACAUGCAAGUCGAACGGAAAUGCCGUGCUUCUGUGGGGUGGUCGAAUGGCGAACGAGUGAGUAACACGUGGGUAACCUGCCCUUGACUGUAGGGUAAAUUACGGAAACUCGGACUAAUGCCUGAUACGAGGUCCUGCGGCGUGGAGGUGGUUGGAAAGUUUCGGCGGUUGGGGAAGGACUCGCGGCUUAUCAGCUUGUUGGUGGGGUAGGGGCUUACCAAGGCUUUGAAGGGUAGCCGGCUUGAGAGGGUGACCGGCCACAGUGGGACUGAGAUACGGCCCAGACUCCUACCGGAGGCAGCAGUGGGGAAUAUUGCACAAUGGGCGGAAGCCUGAUGCAGCAACGCCGCGUGCGGGAUGACGGCCUUCGGGUUGUAAACCGCUUUCUCCUGUGACGAAGCGUGAGUGACGGGAAUGGGUAAAGAAGCACCGGCUAACUACGUG
rnacentral:rRNA from 1 species